rnacentral:rRNA from 1 species
GUAGGGAAUAUUGCACAAUGGAGGAAACUCUGAUGCAGCGACGCCGCGUGAGUGAUGAAGGCCUUCGGGUCGUAAAGCUCUGUCGCAGGGGAAUAACACAAUGAAGGUACCCUGUAAGAAAGGAUCGGCUAACUUCGUGCCAGCAGCCGCGGUAAGACGAGGGAUCCUAGCGUUGUUCGGAAUCAUUGGGCGUAAAGCGGAUGUAGGUGGCUAUGUAAGUCAGAUGUGAAAGCCUGGUGCUCAACACCAGAAGUGCAUUUGAUACUGCGUAGCUUGAGUGUCGGAGAGGUUACUAGAAUUGUUGGUGUAGUGGUGAAAUACGUAGAUAUCAACAGGAAUACCGGAGGCGAAGGCGGGUAACUGGCCGAACACUGACACUGAGAUCCGAAAGCGUGGGGAUCAAACAGGAUUAGAAACCCCUGUAGUCC